AAUCAUGGUGCAGGAAUAUGUUUCGCCCGUGAGGGUUCACAAAUACCCUUUCGAAAUGGUGAUGGCGGCGUACGAGAGACGUUUCCCCAGCUGCCCGCAGAUCCCGGUGGUGCUGGAGUGCGUCAUCACCGACGACAGCUGGACGGCGGACGACUCCCAGCGACAGACCACGCGCCGCUGUCAGCUGAAUGUGGAGGCGCCGUAUCUCUUGAAAAAGAUGAUCGGCGUGGACUACGUCUACUUCAUCCAGAAGAAUCACCUGGAUCUCAAGAGCCGGGUGCUGGAGAUCGAGGCCACCAACGAGACGUUCGCGUCCCGGGUCUCCGUGGUUGAGAAGUGCCGCUAUUAUGUGCACCCCGAGAACUCGCAGUGGACGUGCUUCGAGCAGAGCGCGUUGCUCGACGUGAAAAACUUCUUCGGUCUGGAGAGCACCGUGGAGAAGAUCGCCAUGAAGCAGUACGCUGCUAACAUUGCUAAAGGCAAGGAGCUGAUCGAGGUGUUCAUGCGCGAGGUGCACGCGGACGGCGUGCGCGAGCUGCCCGCGUGGUGCGCCUCGGACGCGGCGCGCAACCGCGAGCUGCGGCGCGCCGUGUCGCGCGGCGCCGAGCCGCUCUCGCCGCGCCCCGCGGCCGAGGCGAGGCGACACUCUGUGCCGGACCAAUACACGCUGGACAGCGAGUACAUCAAGCGAUAUCUGGGUGAACUCACGCCGAUCCAGGAGUCACGGCUCCUGCAGCUGAGGAAAUGGAUUGCAGAUCUACAGAAAGGGAAGGUGCCAAGCGACACGACGCUCCUUCGAUUCCUGCGAGCCAGGGACUUCAACGUGGAGAAGGCGAGGGAGAUGCUCUCCCAGUCUCUCCUCUGGCGGAAGAAGCACCAAGUUGACAAGAUCCUGUCGGAGUACGAGACCCCGGAUGUGGUGAAACAGUACUUCCCCGGCGGUUGGCAUCAUCAUGACAAAGACGGACGUCCCCUGUACAUUCUUCGUCUGGGCCAGAUGGAUGUUAAAGGACUACUCAAAUCGAUUGGCGAAGAUGGCCUACUUAAGUUGACUCUUCACGUGUGUGAAGAGGGUCUAAAACUGCUCGAAGAAGCGACCCGUUCAUCAGAACACGCGGUGCACUCCUGGUGCCUGCUGGUGGACCUGGACGGGCUGAACAUGCGCCACCUCUGGAGGCCCGGGGUGAGGGCGCUACUAAGGAUCAUACAGAUCGUGGAGGCGAAUUAUCCGGAGACGAUGGGCAGGGUGCUGAUUGUGAGGGCUCCGAGGGUGUUCCCUAUACUGUGGACCAUUGUCAGCACUUUUAUCGAUGAGAAUACCCGCAGUAAGUUCUUGUUCUACGGCGGUAAAGACUACUUGCAGCCGGGCGGGUUGCUCGACUACAUCCCUAAAGAUCUCAUUCCGGAUUUCCUUGGGGGACCUUGCAAGAGUUUCGUGCACGAGGGUGGCUUGGUGCCGAAGAGCCUGUACGUGAGCGGCGCCUUCACGGAGCGCGACGGCGACCCGCUCAGCGAGGACAGCAUCUACCGGUCCGUUAGCUUGGGGAAGGGACAGGUGCACGAGGUGAUAGUGGUGAACCGGGACCCGCAAAGCGUGCUGACCUGGGACUUCGACGUACUGAGACACGACAUCUCCUUCACGGUGUUCCGGACUGAGCACGAGAUCGACAUGCCAGACCAAACUGAUCAUGCUGCUGCGGUGUGCGUGGGCGGGUCCGCGGUGGAGGAGGGCCGCUCGGUGCUGCAGGCGCGCGACUGGCGCGAGGGCGAGCACUUCCACCGCGUCGAGCCGCCGCUCGUCUGCCACGACGGGGAGAGCAUACAGGGCUCGCACGUGAUGUCGCAGUGCGGCAGCUACGUGCUGCAGUGGCGCUGCGAGGCGCCCGACGCGCCGCACCGCGCCGCGCAGCUCAUGUACUUCCACGAGACGCUCGCCAGCUCCACCUACAAGCCACUCACACGUGUGCAGUAAAGUAUGGGGAUGGUUAGGAGGUCACAAACUCACAUAGAUGCCGUGGAAGGUACCAGAUAGGAUAAUGAGUUGCCGAGGUGAUUACGGGUUCCAUGUCCAGCCUCCAGUCGGCGACGAGCGGCUUCUCGUGCCUCAGCAACAAGUCGGUCGGCUCGUGCCCGUCGCGGUGAUGCGAACUGCCCGCGCCCGCCACGCGCUGAACGCGAUGCGAACGCGAAGCGAAGGCGUGGCGAUAGCGUGGCGGAGCGGGAUGUUAGCGAGGCGUUUGCGAUGCGAAGCGGGAUGUUAAAUUUUAUGUGGUAUUAGUGAAUGUGUUGAGGAUAAAAGCGUUGGAUUUAACUGCGUGUUAAAAUCAGUUAAAUAUUGUCGUGCAGGUACUGGCACAAAAUCAGAGUAAUUUGAAAUUUCUGAUGAAGUCUGGAACUAUGAAAAUAGAUGGUUUAAAGGAGUGCUUAUAAUGGCAUACAUAGUGUAAUAAUAAAUACCGCAUAUGCACUCUAAAAGUAAGCUAUUUAACUAAACACGCUGUGGAUUUUUUAUGAAAAAAAUUUAACAUCAAUUUAGCAGAAUUUUUUCAACCACCAAAUAUUGCUUAAAUCAAAACUGUUUUCGGAAAAAUUAAUACUGCUUUCCCGUAAUCCUUCGCCAUGUAUGUGACAACGAAAAACGCGGUUUCUGAACUGUCACAUUGACAGGUGACAGAUAAGUGUCACCUGUCAUCUGUCUCAUCGAUAAGUAUCCACGUAAAUUGUAGUAUACAUGACUAAAAUUAAAUAGCUUUCGUUUUGAUGGAAAAUAAUAAGUGUAUAAAAAAGACUAUAUCAAUAAUAAUAAUAAUAAACCAAGUGAGAUUAUGCGACUAUCGUGAAAUGUAACAGUGAUUUAUCACAGCUAUUUUUAUCAACUAGAAAAAUGUGUUACAAGCCGUGUGACAUAGUCCAGUAAGGAAUUGAAAUUUUAUCGCCUAGAUAAAACCUAUUUAUGACCGAGAUCGUUUCUAUCGGUGUAUUUUCAACUGUAACACAUAGUAAUAGAAUCUAUUUUUGAUUAGAUAGCCAGGUGUUGGAAAUAUGUAAUAAAUAACUAAUAAGUAGCAUAAUUAUUUGCACGCAUGCGUUUAUUUUAUUAUUUUUAAUGUUUACUUCGUAUCGUGGUGUUAAUAUUUCGCUGUAGAUACUAGCGGAUGUUUUUUUUUU